UCAAAUAAUCGCUAUAUGUGAAAAACAUCGGUUGAAAAAAAAUGAAGGUGUUUGUUUUUGUUGCGUUGACUUUCCUUGUAAUGGUAUCUACAAGUGUUGUCAUCGCGGGGUUUCACUGCCCCACUAACGAGGCUCUAUGUAACUCGUUCUGUAAAAGCAGAGGUUGUAAAAGAGGGUACUGCGACCCUGCAGUCCUGUGGCUGAGGUGUACGUGUUCCGGAUGUAGUGGAUAGAUCUAGAAGAAAGUCAACCUAACAAACGAAAUAAAUAAUUACAUUUCAGACAAUU